AGAUUUUAGAGACCAAAAAAUCCCUGAAAAAGCUGAAACGUCUGAGUUCUUUUAAAAAUUUCUGAAUUCCUGUAUUCCAUGGUUGAAGACUACUAAAAUUCUGUUUGUUUGGAUUUCUGAUUUCUCAUUGUUAGCUAAAGCACUUGAGACUUUCCCUAGUUACACUUCCGGUUUGAUAAAUGGCUUGAAUUUUGGUUUGAAAUUAGGUUUGGAUUUGUUAUUCCUCCACUAUUUCAUCAAUUGUUCUUAAGUUGAUUUCACCGUUCUACUGUUGAAUCUAGGACUCAGUUCUACUGAUGCUACAUAUGGAUCCCUUACUUCUUCUUACUUUCCCCUUAUUCCCAGGUACAUGAUCUCUGAAUUUCUACCUCAUGUGAGGCUUGACUUGAAGAAUGAAAUGAGAAGCAGAAGUUUAAAGCAUAACAUCAGUUAUUUUGUGAUUCAGUCAUAUUUCGUUUGAUAUUGUUUUUUAGUAACCUUAUGUGGUGUAUUGUCUAGUUGAGUUUUGGUUUGGAUAGGGAGCUUUACUAUUGUAUUUCAGUUGGGACAAUUGUGAAAACUUGGGGCAUAACUUGUUUAGUUGAAUCAGUAGUUUAGACUCUACAUUCAAUCAUGAC
rnacentral:lncRNA from 1 species